rnacentral:rRNA from 1 species
UACGGAGGAUCCAAGCGUUAUCCGGAAUCAUUGGGUUUAAAGGGUCCGUAGGCGGGAUGAUCAGUCAGUGGUGAAAGUCUGCAGCUCAACUGUAGAAUUGCCAUUGAUACUGUUGUCCUUGAGUUAUUAUGAAGUGGUUAGAAUGAGUAGUGUAGCGGUGAAAUGCAUAGAUAUUACUCAGAAUACCGAUUGCGAAGGCAGAUCACUAAUAAUAUACUGACGCUGAUGGACGAAAGCGUAGGUAGCGAAC